UACGUAGGGGCCUAGCGUUGUCCGGAUUUAUUGGGCGUAAAGAGCUCGUAGGCGGUUUGGUGAGUCGGGUGUGAAAUCUCCACGCUCAACGUGGAGGGGCCACCCGAUACUGCCAUGACUAGAGUCCGGUAGGGGAGUGUGGAAUUCCCGGUGUAGCGGUGAAAUGCGCAGAUAUCGGGAGGAACACCAGUAGCGAAGGCGACUCUUUGGCCUGUAACUGACGCUGAGGCGCGAAAGCGUGGGGAGCAAACAGG
rnacentral:rRNA from 1 species